rnacentral:ncRNA from 1 species
AUUGAAAAAUAAAAUAGUCAUAUAUGCUUGAUGAUAUGGUUCAAGCGUUUCUACCUGUUCACCGUAAUGAAUAGACUAUGACUC